rnacentral:rRNA from 1 species
AUGAACGCUGGCGGCGUGGAUAAGGCAUGCAAGUCGGACGAUUUCCUUUUUUGAAGAAGAUGCGAUUACAUCAAGUCAACUGAUAUUUUGGAGAUAGUGGCGAACGAGCUAGUAACACCUUGGUACGUACCCAAAAGUUUGGUAUAGCUCGCCGAAAGGCGGGGUAAUCCCAAAUAAUCCCUCUAUCUAUCGGAUAGAAGGGUAAAGUCGCAAGACGCUUUUUGGAGCGGCCUAGGACCGAUCAGUUAGUUGGUGAGGUAAUGGC